AACGAACGCUGGCGGCGCGCCUAAUACAUGCAAGUCGAACGAGAAGGUGUAGCAAUACACUUGUACAGUGGCGAACGGGUGAGGAAUGCAUGGGCAACCUACCCUCGAGUGGGGAAUAACCAGCCGAAAGGUUGGCUAAUACCGCGUACGCUUCCGGGUCUCCGGAUCCGGAAGGAAAGUCACACCGUGGGUGUGACGCUCAAGGAUGGGCUCAUGUCCUAUCAGCUUGUUGGGAGGUAACGGCUCACCAAGGCAACGACGGGUAGCUGGUCUGAGAGGACGAUCAGCCACACUGGCACUGCGACACGGGCCAGACUCCUACGGGAGGCAGCAGUAAGGAAUAUUGCGCAAUGGGCGAAAGCCUGACGCAGCGACGCCGCGUGGGGGAGUGAAGGUCUUCGGA
rnacentral:rRNA from 1 species